CCUACGGGCGGCAGCAGUGGGGAAUAUUGGACAAUGGGGGGAACCCUGAUCCAGCCAUGCCGCGUGUGUGAAGAAGGCCCUCGGGUUGUAAAGCACUUUCAGUGAGGAAGAACGCCUGGUGGUUAAUACCCAUCAGGAAAGACAUCACUCACAGAAGAAGCACCGGCUAACUCCGUGCCAGCAGCCGCGGUAAUACGGAGGGUGCGAGCGUUAAUCGGAAUUACUGGGCGUAAAGCGCGCGUAGGUGGCUUGAUAAGCCGGUUGUGAAAGCCCCGGGCUCAACCUGGGAACGGCAUCCGGAACUGUCAAGCUAGAGUGCAGGAGAGGAAGGUAGAAUUCCCGGUGUAGCGGUGAAAUGCGUAGAGAUCGGGAGGAAUACCAGUGGCGAAGGCGGCCUUCUGGACUGACACUGACACUGAGGUGCGAAAGCGUGGGUAGCAAACAGGAUUAGAUACCCUUGUGGUC
rnacentral:rRNA from 1 species